AAGUAAUCACAGAACCGGUUUUCAUUUUCGAUCUGACUUAUUUGAUUUAACAAGAGUGAGAUCAUUUUGAAAGCUGAUUUUGUACGGAGAUUCCA
rnacentral:pre_miRNA from 11 species